CCCUACAAUUUGACAGAAACAAGUCAGCCAGCAAAGUGAAGCAUUGUUUCGUACUGAGAUGCCAAGCCUGUCAUGGGACCAUCUCGAUCCAURGAAUUUUGUAGCUGCGUCUUGCAGCUACAGACGUUGCUGCCUAGAUAAACCCAUCUUGCCUAAUCUACCCCAAAAUAAAAAGUGGCACACAGAGAUAUGGGAAGUUAUGCAAAAUUGUGGCUGGGCUGAACUUUUGGCAUAAAAUGUGUUUCAAGUUACCUUUGGGGUUUGGAAAAGAGAGGCUCCUCCAGAAGAGGAUGUGUUGAACGUCUCAAGUUCAAAAUUCGGAACAUUGAAUUGGCCAGUAAUGUGACACCUCUGAACCGCCUGACUGCAUGAAGUUCUGCCUCCUGUGGCUGGCUCCUUCGCUUAUAAAUAGAAGUUCUCCAAAGCAACUUUUGGAAAACCCAGUUGGUACUUCUUCUGCAAAUUGAAAUUUCCAGCAACCAUGAGAUGACCAGAAGACUUGAGGAAUCGCUUGUCUCAACAGCUGCUGGUUAUAGGAAUGCAGGUUCUGGGAGAUGGAGGUAAAAAUGAAGAUGUCAGGAAUGUGAGGAUGAGGGAGGGUGGGCAGAGGUCCCCACUGUUCUUCUGCAGGACAUGAGACCUCAACCCUCCAGCAGGACAUCAGCUGUAGCCUUCAGGUUCUGGGCAUCAGCUUCAUGGAUCUGCUUUAGUGACUUGUCAAGGAAAAAGAGUUUGUCCAUCACAGGGAAAGAGAGGAGAAACUGGUGAAGCAUCAUGCUGAUAUUUGACUAUGGUAAUGAUCUUGACUCCAUUAAAACCUAACAUAGAUUUUAUUUUGAUUUUGUAAGCCUAUGAGCCAAAAUCUGACUAUUUGCAACUAAAAGAUGAAGUAUGACUGUUGUUAGCUCUCUCCCCAACCUGGAUGUGCUUUUGGCUGUGCCCUAAAACCUUCUGGGAGCUUGGCUUGUGUGCCAAGUGCUAUGUAAAUUCAACUUGCAUUGCCAUUUCUCUCAGGAACUUAAAUUUGCUUCCUUAUGGGAACACUGGGACCUCCCAGGCUUCCACCCUUGAAUUUAGCACAAGGAGAUGCAAACAAAUAUAAAUAUAUGGCCUGAAAAUUAGCAGCAUAGGCUAAAAUUAAACACCGCAAACUGAGUGCUUC